GGAAUCUUGGGCAAUGGGGGAAACCCUGACCCAGCAACGCCGCGUGAGGGAUGAAGGCCUUCGGGUCGUAAACCUCUGUCGGGAGGGAAGAACCGUCCCGGGUCGAACAGGCCCGUGGCCUGACGGUACCUCCACAGGAAGCGCCGGCUAACUCCGAGCCAACAGCCGCGGUAAUACGGAGGGCGCAAGGGUUGUUCGGAAUCAUUGGGCGUAAAGCUCGGGUAGGCGGCUUGGCAAGUCGGGUGUGAAAGCCCGGGGCUCAACCCCGGAAUUGCAUUCGAAACUGCCUCGCUAGAGUCCCGGAGAGGAAGGCAGAAUUCCCGGUGUAGAGGUGAAAUUCGUAGAUAUCGGGAGGAAUACCAGUGGCGAAGGCGGCCUUCUGGACGGCGACUGACGCUGAGACGCGAAAGCGUGGGGAGCAAAC
rnacentral:rRNA from 1 species